GUAGGGGGGGGCGAGCGUUGUCCGGAUUUAUUGGGCGUAAAGAGCUCGUAGGGCGGCUUGGCAAGUCGGCGUGAAAGUCCGAGGCUCAACCUCGGAACGCCGGUCGAAACUGCCAUGGCUAGGGUCCGGUAGAGGAGAGUGGAAUUCCCGGUGUAGCGGUGAGAUGCGCAGAUAUCGGGAGGAACACCAGUAGCGAAGGCGGCUCUCCGGGCCGGUACCGACGCUGAGGAGCGAAAGCGUGGGGAGCAAACAGGAUUAGAUACCCUGGUAGUCCACGCCGUAAACGUUGGGCACUAGGUGUGGCGAGUUAUACCAACGCUUGCUGUGCCGUAGCUAACGCAUUAAGUGCCCCGCCUGGGGAGUACGGUCGCAAGGCUA
rnacentral:rRNA from 1 species